rnacentral:rRNA from 1 species
AGUGGAUGGGGAGCAACCUAGUUGUGCGUGUGUAAAGGUAGUGCCAAGAAAAGCGGUGAUCAUGAUGAAAAUCAAUUCCCGGUACCCGAAACCGACACAGGUGGGCAAGUAGAGAAUACUAAGGGGCGCGAGGUAACUCUCUCCAAGGAACUCGGCAAAAUGACCCCGUAACUUAGGGAGAAGGGGUGCCACCGAGAGGUGGUCGCAGUGAAGAGGCCCAGGCGACUGUUUAGCAAAAACAUAGGUCUCUGCAAACUCGAAAGAGGAGGUAUAGGGGCUGACGCCUGCCCAGUGCCGGAAGGUUAAAGAAGUUGGUCAGUCUUAGGAUGAAGCUAGCGACUGAAGCCCCGGUGAACGGCGGCCGUAACUAUAACGGUCCUAAGGUAGCGAAAUUCCUUGUCGGGUAAGUUCCGACCCGCACGAAAGGCGUAACGAUCUGGGCGCUGUCUCGGAGAGAGGCUCGGCGAAAUAGGAUUGUCUGUGAAGAUACGGACUACCUGCAUUUGGACAGAAAGACCCUAUGAAGCUUUACUAUAGCUUGGAAUUGUGUUCGGGCUUCCUGUGCGCAGGAUAGGUGGGAGGCGUAGAAGGUAUUCUUGUGGGGAUACUGGAGCCAACGGUGAGAUACCACUCUCAGGAGGCUAGAAUUCUAACUUAAUUAAGGACAGUUUCAGGUGGGUAGUUUGACUGGGGCGGUCGCCUCCAAAAAGGUAACGGAGGCGUACAAAGGUUCCCUCAGACUGGUUGGAAAUCAGUCGAAGAGUGCAAAGGCAGAAGGGAGCUUGACUGCGAGAAGUACAGUUCGAGCAGGGUGGAAACACGGUCUUAGUGAUCCGACGGUGCUGUGUGGAAGGGCCGUCGUUCAACGGAUAAAAGUUACUCUAGGAUAACAGGCUGAUCUCCCCCAAGAGUUCACAUCGACGGGGAGGUUUGGCACCUCGAUGUCGGCUCAUCGCAACCUGGGGCGGAAGUACGUCCCAAGGGUUGGGCUGUUCGCCCAUUAAAGCGGUACGUGAGCUGGGUUCAGAACGUCGUGAGACAGUUCGGUCCAUAUCCGAUGUAGGCGUGAGAAUAUUGAGAGGAGCCUUCCUUAGUACGAGAGGACCGGGAAGGACGCACCGCUGGUGUACCUGUUAUGAUGCCAAUUGUAAACGCAGGGUAGCCAAGUGCGGAGAGGAUAACCGCUGAAAGCAUCUAAGUGGGAAGCCCACCUCAAGAUGAGUAUUCUGGUGUAAGGUCACGGGAAGACGACCCGUAAAUAGGCACGAGGUGGAAGUGCAGAAUGUAUGAAGCCGAAGUGUACUAAUAGACCGUCGGCUUGACC